UCUUACCUAUUGCUUAUGAAUAGACACGUAGCAAUUCCUUCAUCUCUCCUCUGCUACUAUGUUGCUCUCUAUCUCCUCUGUUUAAAAACAAAACAAAGAGCAAGGAAUUGCAGAGAAGAUUGUUGCUACUAUGGUGCUCUUCUCUGUUUUUUCUGCGUCUGAUAUUUUAUCAGUGCAUGCAGGGCUGGUACUAAUUUCCUGAAACAAUGACACUAGGAAAGAAACUUGCUGAUCCUUUUAAUUUGAGUGUUCUAUAAAAUAGAACAACUAAGCACAACUGCAUUUAUGUGAUAAUAGGAUAUAUUAAAUAGAAUUGUUGGUUUCGGAUCGUGAAAGAAUAUUAUUAUAUGUCAUUACUUAUUU